AGAACCAUGCGCAUUAAACCACCAAAUCGAACGGAUCCCUGCAUAAUACAUUCAUACAACCCCGUAGAAAGGCAUCCAACAAAGCCAAACAGAAUCCUGCAUUUUCACACAAAACACAUUAAACCAAGCUCCAUCAGAACUGAACCUGGAUUUCAUUUUAGCUGGCCACAAUGUGAAUUCCACCAUAAGCCACAGAAACACAAUACACGAAAUCAAAACUAACCUACUAACUAAAAUUGAACUCAUAACUAACUCUAAUGGACUUACAUUUCAUUUGCAACUGACUUGUGAAUUUUAGGGGAAUUUCUAAUCGAAAAUUGGAGAAACUAAAUUUAUAAAUUCAUAGCACGCUUCAUUCAUUCAUUUUGGGGGUCACGAAUCACAAACCAGAAAUCACUCUGCAAAAUCAUUUUUCCAUCUUCACUACAAAUUCUGAGAACGCUCAUUCAUUUUCCAUUUUCAUUGCGAAUUCUCAGAAGCUCUCAAAUCAGAAACUCCGCACUGCACAUUCUCAAAGCAACCCUCAAUUUCCAUUUUUAUCCUCUCAAUCCUCUCCCUCGAUUCAUAGCGUGAAGAGUAGAAGGUGAAGAACUUUGAAGAAGAAGAAUGAGCGUACAGAGAAUUGAUACUUGUUUUUUGCCACCGCAUCAAAUCCGGUGAGUUCUUUUUCUUGUUUCAAUCCAUGGUUCGUCUUUACUUCACGUUUCCCUUUGAUAUGAUGUAAUUGCGAUUCACUUUCGGUAGAUGAAGAUGAUGAUAUGCGCGAAUAGGAAUGUGUUGUUGAUUUCGUGUUUCAAAUUUUUUG
rnacentral:lncRNA from 1 species